AACGAACGCUGGCGGCAGGCUUAACACAUGCAAGUCGAGCGCCCCGCAAGGGGAGCGGCAGACGGGUGAGUAACGCGUGGGAAUCUACCCAUCUCUACGGAAUAACGCAUGGAAACGUGUGCUAAUACCGUAUACGUCCUUCGGGAGAAAGAUUUAUCGGAGAUGGAUGAGCCCGAGUUGGAUUUGCUAGUUGGUGGGGUAAAGGCCUACCAAGGCGACGAUCCAUAGCUGGUCUGAGAGGAUGAUCAGCCACACUGGGACUGAGACACGGCCCAGACUCCUACGGGAGGCAGCAGUGGGGAAUAUUGGACAAUGGGCGCAAGCCUGAUCCAGCCAUGCCGCGUGAGUGAUGAAGGCCCUAGGGUUAUAAAGCUCUUUCACCGGUGAAGAUAAUGACGGUAACCGGAGAAGAAGCCCCGGCUAACUUCGUGCCAGCCGCCGCAGUAACAC
rnacentral:rRNA from 1 species